rnacentral:rRNA from 1 species
AUUGAACGCUGGCGGCAGGCCUAACACAUGCAAGUCGAACGAGGGGCGGACGGGUGAGUUAUGUCUGGGAAACUGCCUGAUGGAGGGGUCUAACUACUGGAAACGGUAGCUAAUACCGCAUACCAUCAGAUGUGCCCAGAUGGGAUUAGCUUGUUGGUGGGGUAACGGCUCACCAAGGCGACGAUCCCUAGCUGGUCUGAGAGGAUGACCAGCCACACUGGGACUGAGACACGGUCCAGACUCCUACGGGAGGCAGCAGUGGGGAAUAGUGCACAAUGGGCGAAAGCCUGAUGCAGCCAUGCCGCGUGUAUGAAGAAGGCCUUCGGGUUGUAAAGUACUUUCAGCAGGGAGGCGUUACCCACAGAAGAAGCACCGGCUAACUCCGUGCCAGCAGCCGCGGUAAUAC